rnacentral:rRNA from 1 species
AUUGAACGCUGGCGGCAGGCCUAACACAUGCAAGUCGAACGAGUGGCGCACGGGUGAGAAAUGUCUGGGAAACUGCCUGAUGGAGGGGGAUAACUACUGGAAACUGUCGCUAAUACCGCAUACCAUCAGAUGUGCCCAGAUGGGUUUAGCUUGUUGGUGGGGUAACGGCUCACCAAGGCGACGAUCCCUAGCUGGUCUGAGAGGAUGACCAGCCACACUGGAACUGAGACACGGCCCAGACUCCUACGGGAGGCAGCAGUGGGGAAUAUUGCACAAUGGGCGCAAGCCUGAUGCAGCCAUGCCGCGUGUAUGAAGAAGGCCUUAGGGUUGUAAAGUACUUUCAGCGGGGAGGCGUUACCGGCAGAAGAAGCACCGGCUAACUCCGUGCCAGCAGCCGCGGUAAUAC